rnacentral:tRNA from 2 species
GGCUGAGUAGCUCAGUGGCAGAGCGAGGUCUUCAUAAGGCCGAGGUCGGUGGUCCGAAUCCACCCUCAGCCACCU